rnacentral:sRNA from 1 species
UCAAACAAGUAGACGGGACUGUGUUGGC